AACGAACGCUGGCGGCAUGCCUAACACAUGCAAGUCGAACGAGACCUUCGGGUCUAGUGGCGCACGGGUGCGUAACGCGUGGGAACCUGCCCUUAGGUUCGGAAUAACUCCCCGAAAGGGGUGCUAAUACCGGAUAAUGUCUUCGGACCAAAGAUUUAUCGCCUUUGGAUGGGCCCGCGUUGGAUUAGCUAGUUGGUAGGGUAAAAGCCUACCAAGGCGACGAUCCAUAGCUGGUCUGAGAGGAUGAUCAGCCACACUGGGACUGAGACACGGCCCAGACUCCUACGGGAGGCAGCAGUGGGGAAUAUUGGACAGUGGGCGAAAGCCUGAUCCAGCAAUGCCGCGUGAGUGAUGAAGGCCUUAGGGUUGUAAAGCUCUUUUACCCGGGAUGAUAAUGACAGUACCGGGAGAAUAAGCUCCGACUAACUCCGUG
rnacentral:rRNA from 1 species